rnacentral:rRNA from 1 species
GACAGAGGAUGCAAGCGUUAUCCGGAAUGAUUGGGCGUAAAGCGUCUGUAGGUGGUUUGACAAGUCUUCUGUCAAAGAUCAGGGCUUAACCCUGGGCAGGCAGGAGAAACUAUUAGGCUAGAGUUCGGUAGGGGCAGAGGGAAUUCCCGGUGGAGCGGUGAAAUGCGUAGAGAUCGGGAGGAACACCAGUGGCGAAGGCGACUUCCUGGCCUGUUCUUGACGCUGAGGCGCGAAAGCUAGGGGAGCAAACGGG